UCGUAGUCGAGCUCAUCCCCAUUCCCCUCUCCUCUCUCGCCCAUAUCGACGCCCCGCUCGAUCUCCACCGGCGAUUCCGUCUCGUCGGCGGCAAGUUGCUGGUGGGAAACAUCGAAAGGGUUCUGCUGGUCGGUUGGGGUAGUGGGGUGGACCAUCGACGGCGCGGGCGACCGGAUUGACGCGGCAACCGGAUCGACGCUACCGACGUGGGGCCAGACGGGGUGAGAUGGGUCCUUCGCCGCCGCCGCCACCGCCGCGCGAUUCCACGCGUCCGAGGGGGCGGCGCGGGUAGCAGGAGUCGCUGAAGGAGACUCGGCGGCGCGACCUGGCGAAUCGACGCAGCGGAAGCUGGUAAACGUGCUCGGAGGUGUCGGUCUCAGAGUUUCGGCGGCGUGGUUUUGAUGAUGAAGAUUGAUUUGAGAAAUUUUUUGGCUACCUAUUCUAGCUUCCUGGAAGAGAAAUUUUACAUGCUGUCCUUGCUUUCAGGUUCCUGACAAUGCAGUUUGCCACUAGUUUUUGUUCAUCUAGUUUGAGGUGUGGUCUCACGAACUACUAAAACUUGGUGCCUUUUGGUGUUGGAUUGUAGACCACUUCGUACCAGUAUAUCCUUUUCUCUUAUAGUAGUUGGAGUUAAGUUUUAUACAUCCAUGACAGAAUCUGUGGGGUAGCUGAUACCGAUGCAUCAGUCGGCGAGAGUCUAACUUCCUGGAUGUUUAUGUAAAAAUACGGAUCUGGAGUUGCAUGAAUUUGGCUGUAACUUUUCAUA